AGGAUGAACGCUGGCGGCGUGCCUAAUACAUGCAAGUCGAGCGGUAACACCUAGGGUGACGAGCGGCGGACGGCUGAGUAACGCGUAGGAAUGUACCCCGAAGUGAGGGAUAAGCACCGGAAACGGUGUCUAAUACCGCAUAUUCUCUUAGGAGCAAAGCAGCAAUGCGCUUUGGGAACGGCCUGCGUCUGAUUAGCUUGUUGGUGAGGUAAAAGCUCACCAAGGCGACGAUCGGUAGCUGGUCUGAGAGGAUGAUCAGCCAGACUGGGACUGAGACACGGCCCAGACUCCUACGGGAGGCAGCAGUAGGGAAUUUUCCACAAUGGGCGAAAGCCUGAUGGAGCAACGCCGCGUGCAGGAUGAAGGCCUUCGGGCCGUAAACUGCUUUUGUUAGUGACGAUUAUGACGGUAGCUAACGAAUAAGGGUCUGCUAACUACGUGCCAGCAGCCGCGGUAA
rnacentral:rRNA from 1 species